rnacentral:rRNA from 1 species
GUGAGGAAUCUUGCGCAAUGGGCGAAAGCCUGACGCAGCGACGCCGCGUGGAGGAAGAAGGCCUUCGGGUCGUAAACUCCUGUCAAGAGGGACGAAUCUCUAUCGAAUGAAUAAGUCGGUAGGUUGACGGUACCUCUGAAGGAAGCCCCGGCUAACUCCGUGCCAGCAGCCGCGGUAAUACGGAGGGGGCAAGCGUUGUUCGGAAUUAUUGGGCGUAAAGGGCACGUAGGCGGUCAAGUAAGUUGGUGGUGAAAGCCCUCGGCUCAACCGAGGAAUUGCCCCCAAAACUGCUCGACUUGAGUCCCGGAGAGGGUGGCGGAAUUCCCAGUGUAGCGGUGAAAUGCGUAGAUAUUGGGAGGAACACCAGUGGCGAAGGCGGUCACCUGGACGGGUACUGACGCUGAGGUGCGAAAGCGUGGGGAGCAAACAGG